rnacentral:rRNA from 1 species
GACGAACGCUGGCGGCGUGCCUAAUACAUGCAAGUUGAGCGCUGAAGGUUGGUACUUGUCCCGACUGGAUGAGCAGCGAACGGGUGAGUAACGCGUGGGGAAUCUGCCUUUGAGCGGGGGACAACAUUUGGAAACGAAUGCUAAUACCGCAUAAAAACUUUAAACACAAGUUUUAAGUUUGAAAGAUGCAAUUGCAUCACUCAAAGAUGAUCCCGCGUUGUAUUAGCUAGUUGGUGAGGUAAAGGCUCACCAAGGCGAUGAUACAUAGCCGACCUGAGAGGGUGUGCGGCCACAUUGAGACUGAGACACGGCCCAAACUCCUACGGGAGGCAGCAGUAGGGAAUCUUCGGCGAUGGACGAAAGUCUGACCGAGCAACGCCGCGUGAGUGAAGAAGGUUUUCGGAUCGUAAAACUCUGUUGGUAGAGAAGAACGUUGGUGAGAGUGGAAAGCUCAUCAAGUGACGGUAACUACCCAGAAAGGGACGGCUAACUACGUG